rnacentral:rRNA from 1 species
CGGCUACACAUGCAAGUCGAGCGGUAGCACAGAGAGCUUGCUCUCGGGUGACGAGCGGCGGACGGGUGAGUAAUGUCUGGGAAACUGCCUGAUGGAGGGGGAUAACUACUGGAAACGGUAGCUAAUACCGCAUAACGUCGCAAGACCAAAGUGGGGGACCUUCGGGCCUCAUGCCAUCAGAUGUGCCCAGAUGGGAUUAGCUAGUAGGUGGGGUAACGGCUCACCUAGGCGACGAUCCCUAGCUGGUCUGAGAGGAUGACCAGCCACACUGGAACUGAGACACGGUCCAGACUCCUACGGGAGGCAGCAGUGGGGAAUAUUGCACAAUGGGCGCAAGCCUGAUGCAGCCAUGCCGCGUGUGUGAAGAAGGCCUUCGGGUUGUAAAGCACUUUCAGCGGGGAGGAAGGCGUUAAGGUUAAUAACCUUGGCGAUUGACGUUACCCGCAGAAGAAGCACCGGCUAACUCCGUGCCAGCAGCCGCGGUAAUACGGAGGGUGCAAGCGUUAAUCGGAAUUACUGGGCGUAAAGCGCACGCAGGCGGUCUGUCAAGUCGGAUGUGAAAUCCCCGGGCUCAACCUGGGAACUGCAUUCGAAACUGGCAGGCUAGAGUCUUGUAGAGGGGGGUAGAAUUCCAGGUGUAGCGGUGAAAUGCGUAGAGAUCUGGAGGAAUACCGGUGGCGAAGGCGGCCCCCUGGACAAAGACUGACGCUCAGGUGCGAAAGCGUGGGGAGCAAACAGGAUUAGAUACCCUGGUAGUCCACGCCGUAAACGAUGUCGAUUUGGAGGUUGUGCCCUUGAGGCGUGGCUUCCGGAGCUAACGCGUUAAAUCGACCGCCUGGGGAGUACGGCCGCAAGGUUAAAACUCAAAUGAAUUGACGGGGGCCCGCACAAGCGGUGGAGCAUGUGGUUUAAUUCGAUGCAACGCGAAGAACCUUACCUGGUCUUGACAUCCACAGAACUUAGCAGAGAUGGAUUGGUGCCUUCGGGAACUGUGAGACAGGUGCUGCAUGGCUGUCGUCAGCUCGUGUUGUGAAAUGUUGGGUUAAGUCCCGCAACGAGCGCAACCCUUAUCCUUUGUUGCCAGCGGUUAGGCCGGGAACUCAAAGGAGACUGCCAGUGAUAAACUGGAGGAAGGUGGGGAUGACGUCAAGUCAUCAUGGCCCUUACGACCAGGGCUACACACGUGCUACAAUGGCAUAUACAAAGAGAAGCGACCUCGCGAGAGCAAGCGGACCUCAUAAAGUAUGUCGUAGUCCGGAUUGGAGUCUGCAACUCGACUCCAUGAAGUCGGAAUCGCUAGUAAUCGUAGAUCAGAAUGCUACGGUGAAUACGUUCCCGGGCCUUGUACACACCGCCCGUCACACCAUGGGAGUGGGUUGCAAAAGAAGUAGGUAGCUUAACCUUCGGGAGGGCGCUACCACGUAGAU